rnacentral:misc_RNA from 1 species
UACGGAGGGUGCAAGCGUUAAUCGGAAUUACUGGGCGUAAAGCGCGCGUAGGCGGCUUGUUAAGCUAGAUGUGAAAGCCCCGGGCUCAACCUGGGAACUGCAUUUAGAACUGGCGAGCUAGAGUAUGGCAGUGGAGUGUGGAAUUUCCGGUGUAGCGGUGAAAUGCGUAGAGAUCGGAAGGAACAUCAGUGGCGAAGGCGACACUCUGGGCUAAUACUGACGCUGAGGUACGAAAGCAUGGGGAGCAAACAGG